rnacentral:rRNA from 1 species
UAAGAGGUCCCACCUGCCCAGUGACUUUAAGUUYAACGGCCGCGGUAUUUUGACCGUGCAAAGGUAGCACAAUCACUUGUCCUUUAAAUGGGGACCUGUAUGAAUGGUACCACGAAGGCUAGACUGUCUCCCCUCUUAAGUCAAUGAAAUUGAUCUCCCCGUGCAGAAGCGGGGAUACCCAUAUAAGACGAGAAGACCCUAUGGAGCUUCAGACACCAAGGCAGACCACGUUAAGCAACCCUUCACACGAAUAAAACCAAAUGGCCGACCUGCCUAAAUGUCUUUGGUUGGGGCGACCGCGUGGUACCACAAAACCCCCGCGUGGAACAGAAACAUCCACCCGUUUCUGAGAUUUAGAGUCCCCCCUCAAAAUCCCAGAACAUCUGACCAAAAAUGACCCGGCCUGCGCGCCGAACAACGAACCGAGUUACCCUAGGGAUAACAGCGCAAUCCUCUUCCAGAGCCCAUAUCGACAAGAGGGUUUACGACCUCGAUGUUGGAUCAGGGCAUCCUAAUGGUGCAGCCGCUAUUAAGGGUUCGUUUGUUCAACG